ensembl:lncRNA ITGA9-AS1 ITGA9 antisense RNA 1
GAAAGCUCGGAAAGCGAAACCGUGGAUAAGCAGGGGAACUGUGGCAUCCCAUUUAAAAUUGCUUCUGAAGAGAAGCAUGAGGUUACAUCUGUAAUCUCCCUGCAGCAGAGUCAACUGCAUAAGAAACCAAAAGACACACCUGCUCCAUGCCAGCCUAAGCCACCACAUAAAAAGUCAGACCAUCUGCUGGAAGAACCACAUGGAGAGGCCCUGAGUCAACAUGGAGAGGAAGAAGGACUUGACUGAAUCCAGCCUUCCAGCUGUCCCUACCAAGGUGCCAGGCAUGAGAAUGAAGCUGUCUUGAACUCUGAAGACCAGCUUAGCCACCAGAGGCUGUCUCAGCAGGAAGGAGUUGGAGUUGGAGAAAAAGGAGAAUUAAGAAUCUAUCUGGCGAUGUGGAUUAAAUAAACAACAAAUUGGCAGAUUGUUUUUAAAAGAACUUCCAGCUUCUAGAGACUACUAGUCAAUUAGAAAAAUAAAUGCAUCAUUAUAACUGUGGAAGUGCUACAAAGGAGAAGUUCAUGAUGAUAAAAGAUCCUCAUGAUAGAGGCAUGGGAGUGAACAGAGUUCCCUGAGGAGCCAUUUGAGCUGAAGGUGAAAGGACAAGCAGAAGUUUACCAGCUAAACAAGGGAGGGAAGAUCAUUCCAAGGAGAGGGAACAUGAUGUGCAAACCCCCUUUGGCAUGAGUGAACUUGGCAAGGGUGAGACACUGCCAUUGGACAGUGAACUGGAGCCAACAGGAUGAACAAGAAGCAGCGGGAAGAUGUUCAUGAUAUGCUGGAGAGACAGGAGCUGGAGGCUGCAGUAAGAUCUCCAUGCUUUACCUUAAGAGGAAUGAGAAGCCACUGGAGGAUUUUGAGCAGGGCAGUGAUGUGAUUUGCAUUUUGCAAAGUACACUGCAAAAUGAAUCUAGGUCAGAAGAGAUAACUGAAUGUGGGAGUACAAGGAAAAAGCCCCCGUGAGAGGGCUGCGGGGGAAAUGGUUUCCCC